GUGGGGAAUUUUGGACAAUGGGCGCAAGCCUGAUCCAGCCAUUCCGCGUGCAGGAUGAAGGCCUUCGGGUUGUAAACUGCUUUUGUACGGAACGAAAAGCCUCUGGUUAAUACCCGGGGGUCAUGACGGUACCGUAAGAAUAAGCACCGGCUAACUACGUGCCAGCAGCCGCGGUAAUACGUAGGGUGCGAGCGUUAAUCGGAAUUACUGGGCGUAAAGCGUGCGCAGGCGGUGAUGUAAGACAGGCGUGAAAUCCCCGGGCUCAACCUGGGAAUGGCGCGUGUGACUGCAAGGCUGGAGUGCGGCAGAGGGGGAUGGAAUUCCGCGUGUAGCAGUGAAAUGCGUAGAUAUGCGGAGGAACACCGAUGGCGAAGGCAAUCCCCUGGGCCUGCACUGACGCUCAUGCACGAAAGCGUGGGGAGCAAACAGGAUUAGAAACCCCAGUAGUCC
rnacentral:rRNA from 1 species